UUUUAAUAUUUCUUAGUUUGAGCCCAGGUGCGGUGUCUCACGCCUGUAAUCACAGCACUUUGGGAGGCCAAGGCAGGCGGAUCACUUGAGGUCAGGAGUUCAAGACCAGCCUGCCAACGUGGUGAAACCCUGUCUGUACUAAAAAUUAAAAAAAAAAAAAAAAAUUAGCCGGGCGUGGUGGCAGUCGCCUGUAGUCCCAGCAACUCCAGAGGCUGAGACAGGAGAAUCGCUUGAACCCCAGAGGUGGAGGUUGCAGUGAGCUGAGAUGGUGCCACUGCACUCCAGCCUGGGCGACAGAGCCAGACUGCAUCUUGUGGGUGUAAAAAAAAAAUUUGUAGUUUGAGAGUCAACUUUUUCCUCACAGUUUCUGAAAAUGUGGCCCUUUUGAUGCUGAUUAAAGCUGGUUGUGAUUUUAACACCUUAGUAGCCAGAAUCGAGACUGUCAUGGGGACAUUUAAAAUCUCACCACACUUGACACCAUUCACAAGUAGCCAUGUGGCUCAGUCUCCUGAGUGCUCCUGCAGAGUGCAGCUCUGCCAGGCUUUUCUCUAGAUAAUCUCGUGUGUGUUACUGUAGCAGUUUGAGUUUAAACACAAGAGUUCACUCGGUUAACAUGUUCUAACCAGCAAGAUUUCUGUUGUUUGCAGGUGCCGUGAGCGAUGUGGAGAUGCAGGAACACUAUGAUGAGUUUUUUGAGGUGAGAGAACUGAACUCUGUGACUGAUAGACCUGUUGAUCUUCUGUAUCUGUUUGGAAGGAUUUAAAAUGUUUCUCUGCUAAUAAACAUACAUGAGUUAUAUCUAAUGACACUUUGUAAUGUAUAACGAGUCUUAAACCACUGUGGUCUCCCUUCAGGAGGUUUUUACAGAAAUGGAGGAGAAGUAUGGGGAAGUAGAGGAGAUGAACGUCUGUGACAACCUGGGAGACCACCUGGUGGGGAACGUGUACGUCAAGGUAGGAGCCAGGGCGAGACGGCGGCGUGGCCGCUUAGUGUGCCAGGGCCAAGGCCAACAGGCGAAAGCGAGACAGUGGUGCAGCCGCUUAGUGUGCCGGGGCCAAGGCCGACAGAGGAUGGGGUGCCUGUCGCCAUGCACCUUGAGAUCCUGGAUGCUCAGGCGCACAGCAGGGCUCAGGUGCACUGGCUCGGCGCCUACCAGCUGCGUCAUAUGUGGCGGUGGCCAGCCCACACGUGCGCCCAGCCAGCAGAACUGAAGGACGGACCGUACACCACAGCCAUCGUUAUUUCAGUGUAGAAUAUUUAGUACCUGUUGGUUUAGAAGCUGUGUGGACUAAGGAAAAGUUAGGUUUACUCACAUGUUUGGUUUCUUUUUUCUUUUUUAGUGAAUAAAACUUUAUUUGCCUACACAGCCAUAUUUGCUCCUUUAACCAGUUGAAUUUGAAAAAUGAAGGCAACAUUUGGCAAAAUCUUGGACUAUCUUGAAGUUAAUCUCAUUGAAAAUAAAGGAUUUUUCAAUUAUCCUGUAAUACUAUUCCACCUUACUAUACCUGAGUGUGUAUAUCUCUCUCUGAUAUACUUGGAUUGGUAAUUGAGAAAGUCUUAUUAAAGCGUGGAUGGCAAGCACUUCUGUUUUUGUCUUUUCAGUUUCGCCGUGAGGAAGAUGCGGAAAAGGCUGUGAUUGACUUGAAUAACCGUUGGUUUAAUGGACAGCCGAUCCACGCCGAGCUGUCACCCGUGACGGACUUCAGAGAAGCCUGCUGCCGUCAGUAUGAGAUGGGAGAAUGCACACGAGGCGGCUUCUGCAACUUCAUGCAUUUGAAGCCCAUUUCCAGAGAGCUGCGGCGGGAGCUGUAUGGCCGCCGUCGCAAGAAGUGAGUAUUCCUGUGCCCGUUGUUAAGCUCAGUGGCUUCUUUCUCCCCUCACAACCCUCCCCCUUCCAAAAAAAAAAUUUUGGCAUAGGUGUCGUUUCUGUUUUUUAAAAGGCAGUGCUUAGAACAUAGUACAUAUUUUUAAAUAUCCAAAUGUCCUCUUUGGAGAAGAAUAUUCACCUGCACACAGGUAACUUCAUUAUCCAACUUCUCAAGUAGAGAUCAGAUCUUAGUAAUCAAGCAAGAGGGCGGUUAGCUGGGCAGCCGCGGACAUGAGGCUCGUGGUGAAAGUGGGCAUGCAGUUUAUUCUCCCAGAUAUUACGAAGAAGAAGAAUAGAUGUUGUAACCUCCUUUAGAUCAGGGAUGGCUUCCCUGGGACACAUUGGAAGAAGAAUUGUCUUGGGUCACAAAUAAAAUACACUAAUGAUAGCUGAUAACUUUUUUUUUAAUUGCAAAAAAAAUCUCAUAAUGUUUUAAGCAAGUUGAUGAAUUUGUGUUGGGCUGCAGGUUGGACAAGCUUUUGCUUUACAUAUUUCACAUGUCCACUGGGGUUUCUUUUGGUUUUGCUUGUUGGUUUUAGGGCAUUUCAUUAUGUCUUGGGAUCGCUGGCAUCCUCCCUUCGGGACACUGGCAGAAUCAGGCCCAGCGGUCACAUCUCUCUGAUCCUACAUUUAAAUGUACGACAGGUCACAGAGCAGAGAAAAUCAAGACGUCAGAAUCGAACCGAUUGAGUUCUGAGUCUGGAGAGGUUCUCAUCCCUCUUCUGUUAAACAUGGACUAGUAAAUAGAUGGGUGGCGAUUGUUUUAUUGUCAGCAUUCAAGAAGCAUAAGAGAAAAACAGGCCUGCUCUCCCCAGCCCAAAAACCUGAUGGACACAGUAGCUAUGAGCGCCUGAAGCGUGGGGUCAGUGAGGGUUGAAGAUGGUAUGUGUCCAGCUCAUUUUGAUUAUGAUUUCCUGUGACCAUUUGAGUUGGUUCUAGAAGAAGACAGAAGAUGCAAGGUAUUACACCUGUUCACUUCUAAGUUGCACAUUUUUUUCUCCUGAAACUUUUCACACCUGAAAUCAGGGUGUGUCUCAGUCACGGCGUGCAGUCUCUUCAGCAGUGUUUUUCCUUAUCAGUGCCGUUGGCUUGAGGAGCUGCGCGUGUUGAGAGAGUGGGUGUGGUUCUGUGCUGCGUGCCGUGGUUUGGAUGGCACGGUUUUCUUUAUUUUCCUUGGUUGCAGGCAUAGAUCAAGAUCCCGAUCCCGGGAGCGUCGUUCUCGGUCUAGAGACCGUGGUCGUGGCGGUGGCGGUGGCGGUGGUGGAGGUGGCGGCGGACGGGAGCGUGACAGGAGGCGGUCGAGAGAUCGUGAAAGAUCUGGGCGAUUCUGAGCCAUGCCAUUUUUACCUUAUGUCUGCUAGAAAGUGUUGUAGUUGAUUGACCAAACCAGUUCAUAAGGGGAAUUUUUUUUAAAAAACAACAAAAAAAAAAACAUACAAAGAUGGGUUUCUGAAUAAAAUUUGUAGUGAUAACAGUA
rnacentral:lncRNA from 1 species